rnacentral:rRNA from 1 species
GUAGGUGGCAAGCGUUGUCCGGAAUUAUUGGGCGUAAAGCGCGCGCAGGCGGUCCUUUAAGUCUGAUGUGAAAGCCCACGGCUCAACCGUGGAGGGUCAUUGGAAACUGGGGGACUUGAGUACAGAAGAGGAAAGCGGAAUUCCAAGUGUAGCGGUGAAAUGCGUAGAGGUUUGGAGGAACACCUGUGGCGAAGGCGGCUUUCUGGUCUGUAACUGACGCUGAGGCGCGAAAGCGUGGGGAGCAAACAGGAUUAGAUACCCUGGUAGUCCACGCCGUAAACGAUGAGUGCUAAGUGUUAGGGGGUUUCCCGCCCCCCUUAGUGCUGCAGCUAACGCAUUAAGCACUCCGCCUGGGGGAGUACGGCCGCAAGGCUG